rnacentral:misc_RNA from 1 species
AUUUAUUUUCAAGCGUAUUACAAUAGUUUUACGAAAUCCAAUAUCUGAUUCGAAUCAAAGCUUGUAUGGAUACGGGGAAAACCAAGAUUACCAAGAAUUGCGGCGAGCGAAGCAAUACGUUUUCCGUCUUGGAUGCAACGGCAGUUCAGCUUCAGUAUGGCUUCAGCGACAGGAGCGACGACAUCAGGAGCAAUGCAGGUUUCUCAGAGCGAUGAUGGAGAGAGAACGAUGCUUUCUUACAAAAUUUAGCUGAAUCAUAGGUGUAUAAGUUAUUCAUUUUAUUAUGAAAAUAAUAU